AUUUAUAUAGUAUAAACACAUUACCUUUAAUUUCCAAUUAAAAUAUUUAAUUCAAUUUAAUAUAAAUA
rnacentral:tRNA from 1 species